GCAUAGUUUACACGGAGCCAACACUGGCUGCCAAUAAGACUGGCAGCCAGUGCUGGCUUGGUAUUGGCCUUGUGUAAACAGUUUUUCAAGCCAAGCCAGCGCUGGCUGCCAACGCUGGCGAGAAUAGAGCGACCGUCUAUUUUUCUAGCCAGUGACCUCCGCCCGCAUACCCUUCGACCCCCGCGCCAGCGUUGCGGACACGUGUAGACGAGUCUCGCCAGUCACUGGCGAAUGUCCAUACGGUGUGUGUUCUUUGUUGUUUUUCCAAACGUGUGCACACCAGAAGAAAAAAUCCGUGAAUGAUUGGCCGCGUCUAAACAACAAGGGCCAGGCCAACGCUGGCUUGUCUGCAGACUGGCGCCAGCAUUACUGGCUUCGUGUAAACUCUACUUAAGGCUCUAAAAAUUGGAGGGGAAAGGGGAAUGUUAGUUAUUAUUAAAAUAGCUAAUAUUCUUUA